rfam:Blautia sp. YL58, complete genome.
UCCGGUGGCGAUACGCCCAGGGGUCACACCCGUACCCAUCCCGAACACGAUGGUUAAGACCUGGGAGGCCGAUGAUACUAUGCUGGAGACGGCAUGGGAAAGCAGGUGGCUGCCGGAU